AGGGCGCACGGUGGAUGCCUUGGCACUAGAAGCUGAUGAAGGACGUUACUAACGACGAUAUGCUUUGGGGAGCUGUAAGUAAGCUUUGAUCCAGAGAUUUCCGAAUGGGGAAACCCAGCAUGAGUUAUGUCAUGUUAUCGAUAUGUGAAUACAUAGCAUAUCAGAAGGCACACCCGGAGAACUGAAACAUCUUAGUACCCGGAGGAAGAGAAAGAAAAUUCGAUUCCCUUAGUAGCGGCGAGCGAAACGGGAAGAGCCCAAACCAACAAGCUUGCUUGUUGGGGUUGUAGGACACUCUAUACGGAGUUACAAAGGACGACAUUAGACGAAUCAUCUGGAAAGAUGAAUCAAAGAAGGUAAUAAUCCUGUAGUCGAAAAUGUUGUCUCUCUUGAGUGGAUCCUGAGUACGACGGAGCACGUGAAAUUCCGUCGGAAUCUGGGAGGACCAUCUCCUAAGGCUAAAUACUCUCUAGUGACCGAUAGUGAACCAGUACCGUGAGGGAAAGGUGAAAAGCACCCCGGAAGGGGAGUGAAAUAGAACCUGAAACCGUGUGCUUACAAGUAGUCAGAGCCCGUUAAUGGGUGAUGGCGUGCCUUUUGUAGAAUGAACCGGCGAGUUACGAUUUGAUGCAAGGUUAAGCAGUAAAUGUGGAGCCGUAGCGAAAGCGAGUCUGAAUAGGGCGUUUAGUAUUUGGUCGUAGACCCGAAACCAGGUGAUCUACCCUUGGUCAGGUUGAAGUUCAGGUAACACUGAAUGGAGGACCGAACCGACUUACGUUGAAAAGUGAGCGGAUGAACUGAGGGUAGCGGAGAAAUUCCAAUCGAACCUGGAGAUAGCUGGUUCUCUCCGAAAUAGCUUUAGGGCUAGCCUCAAGUGAUGAUUAUUGGAGGUAGAGCACUGUUUGGACGAGGGGCCCCUCUCGGGUUACCGAAUUCAGACAAACUCCGAAUGCCAAUUAAUUUAACUUGGGAGUCAGAACAUGGGUGAUAAGGUCCGUGUUCGAAAGGGAAACAGCCCAGACCACCAGCUAAGGUCCCAAAAUAUAUGUUAAGUGGAAAAGGAUGUGGCGUUGCCCAGACAACUAGGAUGUUGGCUUAGAAGCAGCCAUCAUUUAAAGAGUGCGUAAUAGCUCACUAGUCGAGUGACACUGCGCCGAAAAUGUACCGGGGCUAAACAUAUUACCGAAGCUGUGGAUUGUCCUUUGGACAAUGGUAGGAGAGCGUUCUAAGGGCGUUGAAGCAUGAUCGUAAGGACAUGUGGAGCGCUUAGAAGUGAGAAUGCCGGUGUGAGUAGCGAAAGACGGGUGAGAAUCCCGUCCACCGAUUGACUAAGGUUUCCAGAGGAAGGCUCGUCCGCUCUGGGUUAGUCGGGUCCUAAGCUGAGGCCGACAGGCGUAGGCGAUGGAUAACAGGUUGAUAUUCCUGUACCACCUAUAAUCGUUUUAAUCGAUGGGGGGACGCAGUAGGAUAGGCGAAGCGUGCGAUUGGAUUGCACGUCUAAGCAGUAAGGCUGAGUAUUAGGCAAAUCCGGUACUCGUUAAGGCUGAGCUGUGAUGGGGAGAAGACAUUGUGUCUUCGAGUCGUUGAUUUCACACUGCCGAGAAAAGCCUCUAGAUAGAAAAUAGGUGCCCGUACCGCAAACCGACACAGGUAGUCAAGAUGAGAAUUCUAAGGUGAGCGAGCGAACUCUCGUUAAGGAACUCGGCAAAAUGACCCCGUAACUUCGGGAGAAGGGGUGCUCUUUAGGGUUAACGCCCAGAAGAGCCGCAGUGAAUAGGCCCAAGCGACUGUUUAUCAAAAACACAGGUCUCUGCUAAACCGUAAGGUGAUGUAUAGGGGCUGACGCCUGCCCGGUGCUGGAAGGUUAAGAGGAGUGGUUAGCUUCUGCGAAGCUACGAAUCGAAGCCCCAGUAAACGGCGGCCGUAACUAUAACGGUCCUAAGGUAGCGAAAUUCCUUGUCGGGUAAGUUCCGACCCGCACGAAAGGCGUAACGAUUUGGGCACUGUCUCAACGAGAGACUCGGUGAAAUCAUAGUACCUGUGAAGAUGCAGGUUACCCGCGACAGGACGGAAAGACCCCGUGGAGCUUUACUGUAGCCUGAUAUUGAAAUUCGGCACAGCUUGUACAGGAUAGGUAGGAGCCUUUGAAACGUGAGCGCUAGCUUACGUGGAGGCGCUGGUGGGAUACUACCCUAGCUGUGUUGGCUUUCUAACCCGCACCACUUAUCGUGGUGGGAGACAGUGUCAGGCGGGCAGUUUGACUGGGGCGGUCGCCUCCUAAAAGGUAACGGAGGCGCUCAAAGGUUCCCUCAGAAUGGUUGGAAAUCAUUCAUAGAGUGUAAAGGCAUAAGGGAGCUUGACUGCGAGACCUACAAGUCGAGCAGGGUCGAAAGACGGACUUAGUGAUCCGGUGGUUCCGCAUGGAAGGGCCAUCGCUCAACGGAUAAAAGCUACCCCGGGGAUAACAGGCUUAUCUCCCCCAAGAGUUCACAUCGACGGGGAGGUUUGGCACCUCGAUGUCGGCUCAUCGCAUCCUGGGGCUGUAGUCGGUCCCAAGGGUUGGGCUGUUCGCCCAUUAAAGCGGUACGCGAGCUGGGUUCAGAACGUCGUGAGACAGUUCGGUCCCUAUCCGUCGUGGGCGUAGGAAAUUUGAGAGGAGCUGUCCUUAGUACGAGAGGACCGGGAUGGACAUACCUCUGGUGUACCAGUUGUCGUGCCAACGGCAUAGCUGGGUAGCUAUGUGUGGACGGGAUAAGUGCUGAAAGCAUCUAAGCAUGAAGCCCCCCUCAAGAUGAGAUUUCCCAACUUCGGUUAU
rnacentral:rRNA from 1 species